AGAAAAGGGAAUCUUUGUACACUAUUGGUGGGAGUGUAAAUUAGUUCAGCCACUAUGAAAACACUAUGAAGGGGCGCUUGGGUGGCUCAGUGGGUUAAAGCC